rnacentral:lncRNA from 10 species
AAAGGCAAAUUAUCUGUGGCCAGAGGGCAGACCAUGGCAGUUUUAAAAACAGGCCGGAUAUGGUGGCUCAUGCCUAAUAAUCCUAGCACUUUGUGAGGCAGAGGUGGGAGGAUCGCUUGAGCCCUGGAGUUCGAGACCAGCCUGGGCAACAUGGUGAGAUCCUGUCUCUACAAAACAUCCAAAAAUUAGCCAGGUCUCAGACAUGAGUGUACAGAAGCCAUCUUGGAGCCUCCAGACCAGUCCAAAUGACAAGUAGAUACCACCAAGUGACCCUGUCAAUGUCAUGUGAAAAAGAAGAAUUGCUUAACUGGGCUCUGCCUGAAUUCACGAUCGACAAAAUUGUAAAAUAUAAUAAAAUAAUCGUUUUAGGCCAA